CCUACGGGAGGCAGCAGUGAGGAAUAUUGCACAAUGGGGGAAACCCUGAUGCAGCGACGCCGCGUGAGUGAAGAAGUCUUUCGGUAUGUAAAGUUCUUUCAGCAGGGAAGAAAAUGACGGUACCUGAGUAAGAAGCAACGGAUAACUCCAUGAGAGAAGACGCGGUAAUACGCAGGGGGCAAGGGUUAUCUGGAUUUAUGGGGUGUAAAGGGAGCGUAGGCGGCAGAACAAGUCUGGAGUGAAAUGCCGGGGCUUAACCCCUGAACUGCUUGUGAAACUGUGCAUCUAGAGUGUAGGUGAGGUAAGCGGAAUGUCUGGUGUAGCGGUGAAAUGCGUAGAUAUUAUAAGGAACACCAGUGGCGAAGGCGGCUUAC
rnacentral:rRNA from 1 species